rnacentral:lncRNA from 1 species
CAAGCUUCAAAUUUGGAGAUUUGUAAGAGGGAAUUCAAUAUUAUUCUAAUUCCUCUCUUACAGAGUAUGAAUAAAAGGUGUAUACAAACUUUGAAGUUUGUCAAUCAAAAGAGUGAAAUAUUACAAGAGACUGUUGUUGUCAUGGUUUGAGUUGUAAUCAAUAUCUAGAGUCUGACCACUGAGCAACAAGAUUUUACAUACUGAUACGUGAUGUAAUCUCUAGAAUAAUCCAGGAAGAUUUUAGCAUCCUUUCUACA